ACGAACGCUGGCGGCAGGCUUAACACAUGCAAGUCGAACGCCUGUAGCAAUACAGGAGUGGCAGACGGGUGAGUAACACGUGGGAACGUGCCCAAAGGUACGGAACAACUCCGGGAAACUGGAGCUAAUACCGUAUGUGCCCGAAAGGGGAAAGAUUUAUCGCCUUUGGAUCGGCCCGCGUCUGAUUAGCUAGUUGGUGGGGUAAUGGCCUACCAAGGCGACGAUCAGUAGCUGGUCUGAGAGGAUGGCCAGCCACACUGGGACUGAGACACGGCCCAGACUCCUACGGGAGGCAGCAGUGGGGAAUAUUGGACAAUGGGCGCAAGCCUGAUCCAGCCAUGCCGCGUGAGUGAUGAAGGCCUUAGGGUUGUAAACCUCUUUCAGCUCCGACGAAGCGAAAGUGACGGUAGGAGCAGAAGAAGCACCGGCCAACUACGUGCCAGCAGCCGCGGUAAUU
rnacentral:rRNA from 1 species